rnacentral:tRNA from 1 species
AUCCCUGAUGUGUUGACAUAUAAGAUUGCAAAUCUUAAGUAUAACUAAUAUUAUCUGCAGGGGCUU